rnacentral:rRNA from 1 species
ACAUGCAAGUCGAGCGGAUGAGAGGAGCUUGCUCCUUGAUUCAGCGGCGGACGGGUGAGUAAUGCCUAGGAAUCUGCCUAUUAGUGGGGGACAACGUUUCGAAAGGAACGCUAAUACCGCAUACGUCCUACGGGAGAAAGCAGGGGACCUUCGGGCCUUGCGCUAAUAGAUGAGCCUAGGUCGGAUUAGCUAGUUGGUGAGGUAAUGGCUCACCAAGGCGACGAUCCGUAACUGUCUGAGAGGAUGAUCAGUCACACUGGAACUGAGACACGGUCCAGACUCNUACGGGAGGCAGCAGUGGGGAAUAUUGGACAAUGGGCGAAAGCCUGAUCCAGCCAUGCCGCGUGUGUGAAGAAGGUCUUCGGAUUGUAAAGCACUUUAAGUUGGGAGGAAGGGUUGUAGAUUAAUACUCUGCAAUUUUGACGUUACCGACAGAAUAAGCACCGGCUAACUCUGUGCCAGCAGCCGCGGUAAUACAGAGGGUGCAACGUUAAUCGGAAUUACUGGGCGUAAAGCGCGCGUAGGUGGUUCGUUAAGUUGGAUGUGAAAUCCCCGGGCUCAACCUGGGAACUGCAUUCAAAACUGUCGGGCUAGAGUAUGGUAGAGGGUGGUGGAAUUUCCUGUGUACGGUGAAAUGCGUAGAUAUAGGAAGGAAACCAGUGGCCGAAGGCGAACACCUGGACUGAUACUGACCUGAAGUGCGAAAG